rnacentral:rRNA from 1 species
GACGGAGGGGGCUAGCGUUGUUCGGAAUUACUGGGCGUAAAGGGCGCGUAGGCGGCCGAUCAAGUUAGGCGUGAAAUCCCUGGGCUUAACCCAGGAACUGCGUUUAAUACUGAUUGGCUAGAGAUUGGUAGAGGAAAGUGGAAUUCCUAGUGUAGAGGUGAAAUUCGUAGAUAUUAGGAAGAACACCAGAGGCGAAGGCGACUUUCUGGGCCAAUACUGACGCUGAGGCGCGAAAGCUAGGGGAGCAAACGGG